CCUACGGGUGGCUGCAGUGGGGAAUAUUGGUCAAUGGGCGCAAGCCUGACCCAGCAACGUCGCGUGAAGGAAGAAGGCCUUCGGGGUGGAAACCUUCUUUUAGAGGGAAGAGCAGAAGACGGUACCUCUUUAAUAAGCCACGGCUAACUACGUGCCAGCAGCCGCGGCAAUACGUAGGUGGCAAGCGUUGUCCGGAUUUACUGGGUGUAAAGGGCGUGUAGCCGGGCUGACAAGUCAGAUGUGAAAUUCCGGGGCUCAACCCCGGACCUGCAUUUGAAACUGUUGGUCUUGAGUAUCGGAGAGGCAGGCGGAAUUCGUGGUGUAGCGGUGAAAUGCGUAGAUAUUACGAAGAACCCCGAUGGCGAAGGCAGCCUGCUGGACGACAACUGACGGUGAGGCGCGAAAGCGUGGGGAGCAAACAGGAUUAGAUACCCGGGUAGUC
rnacentral:rRNA from 1 species